GGGUUGUGAGGUUAAGCGACUAAGCGUACACGGUGGAUGCCCUGGCAGUCAGAGGCGAUGAAGGACGUGCUAAUCUGCGAUAAGCGUCGGUAAGGUGAUAUGAACCGUUAUAACCGGCGAUUUCCGAAUGGGGAAACCCAGUGUGAUUCGUCACACUAUCAUUAACUGAAUCCAUAGGUUAAUGAGGCGAACCGGGGGAACUGAAACAUCUAAGUACCCCGAGGAAAAGAAAUCAACCGAGAUUCCCCCAGUAGCGGCGAGCGAACGGGGAGCAGCCCAGAGCCUGAAUCAGUGUGUGUGUUAGUGGAAGCGUCUGGAAAGGCGCGCGAUACAGGGUGACAGCCCCGUACACAAAAAUGCACAUGCUGUGAGCUCGAUGAGUAGGGCGGGACACGUGGUAUCCUGUCUGAAUAUGGGGGGACCAUCCUCCAAGGCUAAAUACUCCUGACUGACCGAUAGUGAACCAGUACCGUGAGGGAAAGGCGAAAAGAACCCCGGCGAGGGGAGUGAAAAAGAACCUGAAACCGUGUACGUACAAGCAGUGGGAGCACAGAGCAAUCUGUGUGACUGCGUACCUUUUGUAUAAUGGGUCAGCGACUUAUAUUCUGUAGCAAGGUUAACCGAAUAGGGGAGCCGAAGGGAAACCGAGUCUUAACUGGGCGUUAAGUUGCAGGGUAUAGACCCGAAACCCGGUGAUCUAGCCAUGGGCAGGUUGAAGGUUGGGUAACACUAACUGGAGGACCGAACCGACUAAUGUUGAAAAAUUAGCGGAUGACUUGUGGCUGGGGGUGAAAGGCCAAUCAAACCGGGAGAUAGCUGGUUCUCCCCGAAAGCUAUUUAGGUAGCGCCUCGUGAAUUCAUCUCCGGGGGUAGAGCACUGUUUCGGCAAGGGGGUCAUCCCGACUUACCAACCCGAUGCAAACUGCGAAUACCGGAGAAUGUUAUCACGGGAGACACACGGCGGGUGCUAACGUCCGUCGUGAAGAGGGAAACAACCCAGACCGCCAGCUAAGGUCCCAAAGUCAUGGUUAAGUGGGAAACGAUGUGGGAAGGCCCAGACAGCCAGGAUGUUGGCUUAGAAGCAGCCAUCAUUUAAAGAAAGCGUAAUAGCUCACUGGUCGAGUCGGCCUGCGCGGAAGAUGUAACGGGGCUAAACCAUGCACCGAAGCUGCGGCAGCGACGCUGAUGCGUUGUUGGGUAGGGGAGCGUUCUGUAAGCCUGUGAAGGUGUACUGUGAGGUAUGCUGGAGGUAUCAGAAGUGCGAAUGCUGACAUAAGUAACGAUAAAGCGGGUGAAAAGCCCGCUCGCCGGAAGACCAAGGGUUCCUGUCCAACGUUAAUCGGGGCAGGGUGAGUCGACCCCUAAGGCGAGGCCGAAAGGCGUAGUCGAUGGGAAACAGGUUAAUAUUCCUGUACUUGGUGUUACUGCGAAGGGGGGACGGAGAAGGCUAUGUUGGCCGGGCGACGGUUGUCCCGGUUUAAGCGUGUAGGCUGGUUUUCCAGGCAAAUCCGGAAAAUCAAGGCUGAGGCGUGAUGACGAGGCACUACGGUGCUGAAGCAACAAAUGCCCUGCUUCCAGGAAAAGCCUCUAAGCAUCAGGUAACAUCAAAUCGUACCCCAAACCGACACAGGUGGUCAGGUAGAGAAUACCAAGGCGCUUGAGAGAACUCGGGUGAAGGAACUAGGCAAAAUGGUGCCGUAACUUCGGGAGAAGGCACGCUGAUAUGUAGGUGAAGUCCCUCGCGGAUGGAGCUGAAAUCAGUCGAAGAUACCAGCUGGCUGCAACUGUUUAUUAAAAACACAGCACUGUGCAAACACGAAAGUGGACGUAUACGGUGUGACGCCUGCCCGGUGCCGGAAGGUUAAUUGAUGGGGUUAGCGCAAGCGAAGCUCUUGAUCGAAGCCCCGGUAAACGGCGGCCGUAACUAUAACGGUCCUAAGGUAGCGAAAUUCCUUGUCGGGUAAGUUCCGACCUGCACGAAUGGCGUAAUGAUGGCCAGGCUGUCUCCACCCGAGACUCAGUGAAAUUGAACUCGCUGUGAAGAUGCAGUGUACCCGCGGCAAGACGGAAAGACCCCGUGAACCUUUACUAUAGCUUGACACUGAACAUUGAGCCUUGAUGUGUAGGAUAGGUGGGAGGCUUUGAAGUGUGGACGCCAGUCUGCAUGGAGCCGACCUUGAAAUACCACCCUUUAAUGUUUGAUGUUCUAACGUUGACCCGUGAUCCGGGUUGCGGACAGUGUCUGGUGGGUAGUUUGACUGGGGCGGUCUCCUCCUAAAGAGUAACGGAGGAGCACGAAGGUUGGCUAAUCCUGGUCGGACAUCAGGAGGUUAGUGCAAUGGCAUAAGCCAGCUUGACUGCGAGCGUGACGGCGCGAGCAGGUGCGAAAGCAGGUCAUAGUGAUCCGGUGGUUCUGAAUGGAAGGGCCAUCGCUCAACGGAUAAAAGGUACUCCGGGGAUAACAGGCUGAUACCGCCCAAGAGUUCAUAUCGACGGCGGUGUUUGGCACCUCGAUGUCGGCUCAUCACAUCCUGGGGCUGAAGUAGGUCCCAAGGGUAUGGCUGUUCGCCAUUUAAAGUGGUACGCGAGCUGGGUUUAGAACGUCGUGAGACAGUUCGGUCCCUAUCUGCCGUGGGCGCUGGAGAACUGAGGGGGGCUGCUCCUAGUACGAGAGGACCGGAGUGGACGCAUCACUGGUGUUCGGGUUGUCAUGCCAAUGGCACUGCCCGGUAGCUAAAUGCGGAAGAGAUAAGUGCUGAAAGCAUCUAAGCACGAAACUUGCCCCGAGAUGAGUUCUCCCUGACCCUUUAAGGGUCCUGAAGGAACGUUGAAGACGACGACGUUGAUAGGCCGGGUGUGUAAGCGCAGCGAUGCGUUGAGCUAACCGGUACUAAUGAACCGUGAGGCUUAACCUUACAACGCCGAAGGUGUUU
rnacentral:rRNA from 1 species